GACGAACGCUGGCGGCGUGCUUAACACAUGCAAGUCGUACGGUAAGGCCCUUUCGGGGGUACACGAGUGGCGAACGGGUGAGUAACACGUGAGUAACCUGCCCACAACUUUGGGAUAACGCUAGGAAACUGGUGCUAAUACUGGAUAUGUGCUCCUGCUGCAUGGUGGGGGUUGGAAAGCUCCGGCGGUUGUGGAUGGACUCGCGGCCUAUCAGCUUGUUGGUGGGGUAGUGGCCUACCAAGGCGGCCGCGGGUAGCCGGCCUGAGGGGGUGACCGGCCACAUUGGGACUGGAAUACGGCCCAGACUCCUGCGGGGGGCAGCAGUGGGGAAUAUUGCACAAUGGGCGCAAGCCUGAUGCAGCAACGCCGCGUGCGGGAUGACGGCCUUCGGGUUGUAAACCGCUUUCAGCAGGGACGAAGCUUUUUGUGACGGUACCUGCAGAAGAAGCACCGGCUAACUACGUG
rnacentral:rRNA from 1 species